rnacentral:rRNA from 1 species
UAGGGAAUCUUCGGCAAUGGACGGAAGUCUGACCGAGCAACGCCGCGUGAGUGAAGAAGGUUUUCGGAUCGUAAAGCUCUGUUGUAAGAGAAGAACGAGUGUGAGAGUGGAAAGUUCACACUGUGACGGUAUCUUACCAGAAAGGGACGGCUAACUACGUGCCAGCAGCCGCGGUAAUACGUAGGUCCCGAGCGUUGUCCGGAUUUAUUGGGCGUAAAGCGAGCGCAGGCGGUUAGAUAAGUCUGAAGUUAAAGGCUGUGGCUUAACCAUAGUAGGCUUUGGAAACUGUUUAACUUGAGUGCAAGAGGGGAGAGUGGAAUUCCAUGUGUAGCGGUGAAAUGCAUAGAUAUAUGGAGGAACACCGGUGGCGAAAGCGGCUCUCUGGCUUGUAACUGACGCUGAGGCUCGAAAGCGUGGGGAGCAAACAGGAUUAGAUACCCUGGUAGUCCACGCUGUAAACGAUGAGUGCUAGGUGUUAGACCCUUUCCGGGGUUUAGUGCCGUAGCUAACGCAUUAAGCACUCCGCCUGGGGAGUACGACCGCAAGGUUG